UGCAUUCACUACUGUAAGUCGCUCUGGAUAAGAGCGUCUGCUAAAUAAGUAAAA
rfam:Salmo salar isolate Sally breed double haploid chromosome ssa13, whole genome shotgun sequence.